rnacentral:rRNA from 1 species
UCAUUGCUGGAACGCGCCCCUGGCGCACCCAGAAACCCUUUGUGAACUUAUACCUUACUGUUGCCUCGGCGCAGGCCGUCCCCUGAUGGGGUCCCUCUGGAGACAGAGGAGCAGCCGGCCGGUGGCCAAAUUAACUCUGUUUUUAAACUGAAACUCUGAGUACAAAAACAUAAAAUGAAUCAAAACUUUCAACAACGGAUCUCUUGGUUCUGGCAUCGAUGAAGAACGCAGCGAAAUGCGAUAAGUAAUGUGAAUUGCAGAAUUCAGUGAAUCAUCGAAUCUUUGAACGCACAUUGCGCCCUCUGGUAUUCCGGAGGGCAUGCCUGUUCGAGCGUCAUUUCAACCCUCAAGCCUGGUUGGUGUUGGGGCACUGCUUUCUGACGAGAGCAGGCCCUGAAAUAUAGUGGCGAGCUCGCCAGGACUCCGAGCGUAGUAGUUAAACCCUCGCUUUGGAAGCCCUGGCGGUGCCCUGCCGUUAAACCCCAACUUCUGAAAAUUUGACCUCGGAUCAGGUAGGAAUACCCGCUGAACUUAAGCAUACGA